CGGCGCUUUUUUUUUGCUGCUUGGGGCAGCAAAAAAGCUAGAGCCGGCCCUGAUCAUUUGUUACUGGAUUUCUCUUUCUCGCUCCUCUGUUCUCAACAAUCCCACUGGACUUUCCAAACCGGUGUUAAAAAGCCGUUGAAAAUAGGCAAAACAAAUUUUCCUCAUCUCCAAUCUUGGCCUCCUCUGAUCAGCAUUAAGGGACCGUUAAAGUUGGGAAAAGCCUGGCGGCGGAGCUGCGUCUCAAGUUUGAUGGACAGUGCUGCGGAAGGUGACCCACAGGGCUGCCUGUCACAUGCGUUGAUGUACAAGAGCCAUGCUUGCUACAGAGAUGUCACCAGCAACACACAGAGCCCUGGAGUGCAGUGAAUGGCAAAGCAAGGUCCCAUGGAGGAGGCAGGCGUGUGCGCAGUAUAUAGCAUCUUGCUGACUAGUUUCAAAUUGCUGAGAUUCAGACACAGGAAACGUUUCCACUGGCCUUCACUCCACUGCAAUUAGAAAGGUAAGGUCAAACAAAUACACCUCUACCUCGAUAUAACGCUGUCCUCGGGAGCCAAAAAACCUUACUGUGUUAUAGGUGAAACUGCGUUAUAUUCAACUUGCUUUGAUCCACCAGAGUGUGCAGCCCUGCCUCCCCAGAGCACUGCUUUACCGCAUUAUAUCCGAAUUUGUGUUAUAUCGGGUCGUGUUAUAUCGGGGUAGAGGUGUACAUGCUAGUACUGUUCCCUGCUUCCUCCCAAUGGUUUCUGACCCCGUGUAUAUCAGCUGGCUAUGGGCAGUGCAUAACCUAGAUCUGUUCCAGAGAUCAAAAGAGUCACCAGUUUAAAGACAGCCGAUGUAGUCAUUAGCUGCUUGUGAUGUUCUGCCUCCUGUUAUGAAGGUCAAUGCAAAAUCAGAGAUGUUUUGGUUUUUUAAGUGUCAUGCUAACACAUUGACAACAAACAAAACAAAAGCUCCACCUAAUCAUGGAAGAGGGAGAGCACAGAUAGUGUCAUUUUAAUCUUCCCCAUAUGUGCUUCCACCAGCUGGGAGCCUUCCAACUUUGAU
rnacentral:lncRNA from 1 species